rnacentral:lncRNA from 1 species
AUUAUUGUCUAUAUAUAUAUAUAUAUAUAUAUAUCUACAGAGUCCGGCUAUGAUAUUUGUAAAAGCACCAAUUACUUUGUAUUAUAGGUUUUUAACUAUUAGAUCAGCACUGUUGAUCAUUUACACCCGUUAGAUUAUACUAUUCAACUAACCAUCCACUCAACCCUGGGGGCUCAUAUCAUCCUAACAACAUAUUUUUUAAUCUAAAGGCUAAAAACUUACAAGCAUCAAUGUCUUGGUACUUUUAAAAGCAUAGGAGCUCAAUUAUAUAUAUAUAUAUAUAUAUAUAUAUAUAUAUAUAGAAUUAGGCCGGAAUACUAUUAAUAGUAAAACGUUCUUUUCGCUAUCAAGUUUUUAACCUUUGGAUGAAAAAUUGAUAGUAAAACGCUCUUUUAGCUAUCAAAUUUUUAACCCUUGGAUGAAAAAUUGAUAGUAAAACGCUCUUUUAGCUAUCAAAUUUUUAACCCUUGGAUGAAAAAUUAUAGGGUUAGGAUGAUAUUAGUCAGUUAGAGUUGAGUGGUCCCCACUGGGUUAUAGUAUUUAAUCCAAUGGUUAGAAAUAAUGAAAAGAGUUGAUCCAAAGGCUUAAAAACUGAUAGCAACAAUAAGAUUUUGCUACUAAUAGUAGCCCAGUCCAACUCUCUCUAUAUAUAUAUAUAGACUAGGGCUAUUAUAUUUUUAUAAGUAUAAAUCUUUUUGUACUCAUAAAUUUUCAACCGUUUAAUAAAGAGAUGUACGAUUAGAAUGAUAAUGGUUUUCGGUUAGAAUGAUAGUAGUCUCCUUAGGUUGAGUAGGUGAUUGAGUGGGUAGGUGGUUGAAUAAUAUGAUAUAACAGAUGGAAAUAGUUAAAGGAAUAGAUUUAACGAUCAAAAAUUUAAUUUAUACUAGUUUUCAUUAGUUCAUACACAUGCAGUUUGAUGAGAUA